UACGUAGGGUGCAAGCAUUAAUCGGAUUUAUUGGGCGUAAAGGGCGCGUAGGCGGAAAUGCCAGUCAGAUGUGAAAUCCCGGGGCUCAACCCCGGAACAGCAUUUGAAACUACAUUUCUAGAGGGUAGGCGGAGAAAACGGAAUUCCACAAGUAGCGGUGAAAUGCGUAGAUAUGUGGAAGAACACCAGUGGCGAAGGCGGUUUUCUAGCUUAUACCUGACGCUGAGGCGCGAAAGCCAGGGGAGCAAACGGG
rnacentral:rRNA from 1 species